GUGGCGGCAGCCUAUCGAUUAUGUGAGGCGAGAAGCUCACUUCGGUUAGUGGACAGCGGCGCACGGUACGCGUGGGAAUUUACCUUUCGGCGGGGGACAACAGUUGGAAACGACUGCUAAUACCGCAUACGCCCUACGGGGGAAAGAUUUAUCACCGAAAGAUAGGCCCGCGUUAGAUUAGGUAGUUAGUAGGGUCAAAGCCUACCAAGCCGACGAUCUAUAGCUGGUUUGAGAGAACGAUCAGCCACACUUGGAACUGAGACACGGUCCAGACUCCUACGGGAGGCAGCAGUGGGGAAUCUGGCACAAUGGGGCGAGAAGCCUGAUUGCAGGCCAUUGCCGACGUGGAGUUGAGAAAGGGCCUCCGGGGUUGUAACAAAAAAAACC
rnacentral:rRNA from 1 species